rnacentral:rRNA from 1 species
AUUGAACGCUGGCGGCAGGCCUAACACAUGCAAGUCGAGCGGCAGCGGGACCUUCGGGUCGCCGGCGAGCGGCGGACGGGUGAGUAAUGCCUAGGAAUCUGCCUGUUAGUGGGGGAUAACGCGGGGAAACUCGCGCUAAUACCGCAUACGUCCUACGGGAGAAAGUGGGGGACCCUCGGGCCUCACGCUAACAGAUGAGCCUAGGUCGGAUUAGCUAGUUGGUGGGGUAAAGGCCCACCAAGGCGACGAUCCGUAACUGGUCUGAGAGGAUGAUCAGUCACACUGGAACUGAGACACGGUCCAGACUCCUACGGGAGGCAGCAGUGGGGAAUAUUGGACAAUGGGCGAAAGCCUGAUCCAGCCAUGCCGCGUGUGUGAAGAAGGUCUUCGGAUUGUAAAGCACUUUAAGUUGGGAGGAAGGGCGCUCGGUGAAUACCCAGGCGACUUGACGUUACCGACAGAAUAAGCACCGGCUAACUUCGUGCCAGCAGCCGCAGUAACAC